GACGAACGCUGGCGGCGUGCCUAAUACAUGCAAGUUGAGCGCUGAAGGUUGGUACUUGUACCAACUGGAUGAGCAGCGAUCGGGUGAGUAACGCGUGGGGAAUCUGCCUUUGAGCGGGGGACAACAUUUGGAAGCGAAUGCUAAUACCGCAUAAAAACUUUAAACACAAGUUUUAAGUUUGAAAGAUGCAAUUGCAUCACUCAAAGAUGAUCCCGCGUUGUAUUAGCUAGUUGGUGAGGUAAAGGCUCACCAAGGCGAUGAUACAUAGCCGACCUGAGAGGGUGAUCGGCCACAUUGGGACUGAGACACGGCCCAAACUCCUACGGGAGGCAGCAGUAGGGAAUCUUCGGCAAUGGACGAAAGUCUGACCGAGCAACGCCGCGUGAGUGAAGAAGGUUUUCGGAUCGUAAAACUCUGUUGGUAGAGAAGAACGUUGGUGAGAGUGGAAAGCUCAUCAAGUGACGGUAACUACCCAGAAAGGGACGGCUAACUACGUG
rnacentral:rRNA from 1 species